rnacentral:rRNA from 1 species
UUAAAAAGCUCGUAGUUGAACCUUGGGCCUGGCUGGCCGGUCCGCCUCACCGCGUGCACUGGUCCGGCCGGGUCUUUCCCUCUGGGGAGCCGCAUGCCCUUUACUGGGUGUGGCGGGGAAACAGGACUUUUACUUUGAAAAAAUUAGAGCGCUUCAAGAAGGCCUAUGCUCGAAUACAUUAGCAUGGAAUAAUGAAAUAGGACGCGCGGUUCUAUUUUGUUGGUUUCUAGGACCGCCGUAAUGAUUAAUAGGGACAGUCGGGGGCAUCAGUAUUCAAUUGUCAGAGGUGAAAUUCUUGGAUUUAUUGAAGACUAACUACUGCGAAAGCAUUUGCCAAGGAUGUUUUCAUUAAUCAGGAACGAAAGUUAGGGGAUCGAAGACGAUCAGAUACCGUCGUAGUCUUAACCAUAAACUAUGCCGACUAGGGAUCGGACGAUGUUGUUUAUUGACUCGUUCGGCACCUUACGAGAAAUCAAAGUGCUUGGGCUCCAGGGGGAGUAUGGUCGCAAGGCUGAAACUUAAAGAAAUUGACGGAAGGGCACCACCAGGGGUGGAGCCUGCGGCUUAAUUUGACUCAACACGGGGAAACUCACCAGGUCCAGACACAAUAAGGAUUGACAGA